AGAGUUUGAUCAUGGCUCAGAACGAACGCUGGCGGCGUGCUUAAGACAUGCAAGUCGUGCGAGAAAGUCACUUUCGGGUGGCGAGUAAAGCGGCGCACGGGUGAGUAACGCGUGGGUAAUCUGCCCUCGGGCCUGGGACAACCCCGGGAAACUGGUGCUAAUACCGGAUGAGACCACGAAGUCCCUGGACUUUGCGGUAAAAGAUGGCCUCUUCUUGAAAGCUAUCGCCUGAGGAUGAGCCUGCGUCCCAUUAGCUUGUUGGUGAGGUAACAGCUCACCAAGGCAUCGAUGGGUAGCUGAUCUGAGAGGAUGAUCAGCCACACUGGAACUGAGACACGGUCCAGACUCCUACGGGAGGCAGCAGUCGGGAAUUUUGGGCAAUGGGCGAAAGCCUGACCCAGCAACGCCGCGUGAGGGAUGAAGGCCUUCGGGUCGUAAACCUCUGUCAGGAGGGAAGAACGUCGUCGGGUAAAUAAUCCGGCGAUCUGACGGUACCUCCAAAGGAAGUGCCGGCUAACUCUGUGCCAGCAGCCGCGGUAAUACAGAGGGCACAAGCGUUGUUCGGAAUUAUUGGGCGUAAAGCGGGGGUAGGCGGCUUGGUAAGUCGGAUGUGAAAUCCCAGGGCCCAACCCUGGAACUGCAUUCGAAACUGCCUCGCUAGAGUUCCGGAGAGGAUGGCGGAAUUCCCGGUGUAGAGGUGAAAUUCGUAGAUAUCGGGAGGAACACCAGUGGCGAAGGCGGCCAUCUGGACGGUGACUGACGCUGAGACCCGAAAGCGUGGGGAGCAAACAGGAUUAGAUACCCUGGUAGUCCACGCCGUAAACGUUGAGUGCUCGUCGUCGCGGGUA
rnacentral:rRNA from 1 species